GAUGAACGCUGGCGGCGUGCCUAAUACAUGCAAGUCGAGCGAACGGACGAGAAGCUUGCUUCUCUGAUGUUAGCGGCGGACGGGUGAGUAACACGUGGAUAACCUACCUAUGAGACUGGGAUAACUUCGGGAAACCGGCGCUAAUACCGGAUAAUAUUUUGAACCGCAGGGUUCAAAAGUGAAAGACGGUCUUGCUGUCACUUAUAGAUGGUUCAGGGCUGGAUUAGGUAGUUGGUAGGGUAACGGCUUACCAAGGGAACGAUGCAUAGCCGACUUGAGAGGGGGAUCGGCCACACUGGAGCUGAGACACGGCCCAGAAUCCGACGGGAGGCAGCAGUAGGGAAUCUUCCGAGAUGGGCGAAAGCCUGACGAAGCAACGCCGCGUGGGUGAUGAAGGUCUUCGGAUCGUAAAACUCUGUUAUGAGGGAAGAACAUAUGUGUAAGUAACUGUGCACAUCUGGACGGUACCUAAUCAGAAAGCCACGGCUAACUACGU
rnacentral:rRNA from 1 species